rnacentral:rRNA from 1 species
GCAUCGAGAUCGAAAGCUCCGGUGCCCAAGGAUGGGUCUGCGGCCUAUCAGGUAGUAGUGGGUGUAGCGUACCUACUAGCCUACGACGGGUACGGGUUGUGAGAGCAAGAGCCCGGAGAUGGAUUCUGAGACACGAAUCCAGGCCCUACGGGGUGCAGCAGGCGCGAAAACUUUACAAUGCUGGAAACAGCGAUAAGGGGACCUCGAGUGCCAGGUUACAAAUCUGGCUGUCGUGAUGCCUAAAAAGCAUUGCAUAGCAAGGGCCGGGCAAGACCGGUGCCAGCCGCCGCGGUAACACCGGCGGCUCGAGUGGUAACCGUUAUUAUUGGGUCUAAAGGGUCUGUAGCCGGCCGGAUAAGUCUCUUGGGAAAUCUGGCAGCUUAACUGUCAGGCUUUCAGGGGAUACUGUCUGGCUCGAGGCCGGGAGAGGUGAGAGGUACUUCAGGGGUAGGGGUGAAAUCUUGUAAUCCUUGAAGGACCACCAGUGGCGAAGGCGUCUCACCAGAACGGACCUGACGGCAAGGGACGAAAGCUAGGGGCACGAACCGGAUUAGAUACCCGGGUAGUCCUAGCCGUAAACGAUACUCGCUAGGUGUCGGCCACGGUGCGACCGUGGUCGGUGCCGUAGGGAAGCCGUGAAGCGAGCCACCUGGGAAGUACGGCCGCAAGGCUGAAACUUAAAGGAAUUGGCGGGGGAGCACCACAACGGGUGGAGCUUGCGGUUUAAUUGGAUUCAACGCCGGAAAUCUUACCGGGACCGACAGCAAAAUGAAGGCCAGGCUGAAGACUUUGCCGGAUUAGCUGAGAGGUGGUGCAUGGCCGUCGUCAGUUCGUACUGUGAAGCAUCCUGUUAAGUCAGGCAACGAGCGAGACCCACGCCCACAGUUGCCAGCGUACUCUCCGGAGUGACGGGUACACUGUGGGGACCGCCGCUGCUAAAGCGGAGGAAGGAAUGGGCAACGGUAGGUCAGUAUGCCCCGAAUAUCCCGGGCUACACGCGAGCUACAAUGGUUGGUACAAUGGGUAUCUACCUCGAAAGGGGAUGGAAAUCUCCUAAAGCCAAUCCUAGUUCGGAUUGAGGGCUGCAACUCGCCCUCAUGAAGCUGGAAUCCGUAGUAAUCGCGUUUCAACAGAACGCGGUGGAUACGUCCUGCUCCUUGCACACACCGCCCGUCAAACCACCCGAGUAGGGUCUGAAUGAGA